GAGGGUAUAGCGCAGUGGUAGAGGGCAUGCUUAGCAUGCAGGACGUCCUGGGUUCGAUCCCCAGCACCUCCA
rnacentral:tRNA from 1 species